AGGAGGUGAAUUUGGAGAGGCGGUGGUACGCCAGAUUAUUUUUUUUAUUGUUGGAUUUCCACCGCCUCACGCACGCCUCGAUAGUCCGUACUGGCAGCAAACCAGUUACGGCUCCACCCAACCUCCAUGUGAGCAACCAGCCCUCCCACAGUUGUUCAAUGUGGUGGCAGUGAUGGUACUGAUUUCCAAGCAUCAUACUAUCAAUAAGCUGAUAAAGGUCCCAGACUAGACCAUCACUUCUUAUCUCCAGCUUUGACCUUGUGAUUGAUGCUGGAAUUCCUUGAGGAUCGAGAGCGAGUCGGUCAGCCUCUCCCCUUUACUCUCUUUCCCUGAUGAUGAAACCGCGACGGCUCACUCUUCCUUUUUCUCGUCU
rnacentral:misc_RNA from 1 species